AUAUUACAUUUGUGCCCUUCUCCAUCUGCUUCUGUAUUCAUCUUCCGAUCCGGCUUGUUCCUCUACGAGUUCUCCGACUGAACUAGAGAUCUAAUUCUGAUGGCAACAAACAAUUAGAUAGCCGCAUGUGCUGUUCUCUUUGCCAUUGAAACGAUUUAUGGCUCUGCGUUAAUCUUAUUCCACGACUGAAACUGAAAGGUACUUCGUUUUUGUAAUUCCUUUCGUAUCCUUUUAUUUGGCCGACCAACUCCGCUUCGGGAUUGUUCAGUUUCCCUUGUUUGCUCCUGCAUAGCUCUUCUCUCAAGCAUUACCCACUGUCUCUGCUACAUAGGUGAUAGGAUUAAGAGAAUCAAGUGAAGGAAUAGGGCAGACACUCUAUUUCAAGAUCCCAGGAGGGAGAUACAGACUAGAGUAUGAGAAAACUUGCACCGUUGAUCUUCUUAUUAUGCCCAUGGCAAGACAUUAACUCAGCGAGCGAAUGCAACUGAACAUCAAGAAGUCACUCCAGUAUCUUUGCCAUCGAGUACGGGUGCAACUAUUGCCAUAUGAGGUUAGAAGCGGGAUACAAGUUGAUCAUCAAGGAGACCGUUGCUGAAGAGAUUUCCCAACCCAAGAGAUUUGAUCCUCGGAAAGAAAUUGAUUCUUUCCAAGAAUAAGGUUAAUUCCCGUUACUCUUCCUUGAUGUGUGGACUUUGACAGCUUUCCAUUUUAAAGUCUUGAUAGCGCCGGAUUUGCUCCUUAAUUCUGGGUCCUUCCAGUAAUAGCUACUGAUUGAUUAUCUUGCCGGAUCUUCAAUGCUUCUUUUCCUUUUUAACUCUUCAACCAAUCUCAGAUUGAUUAUCUCGCCGGAUCGUCAGUGCUUCUUUUCCUUUUGAAUGCUUCAAUCAAUCUUUGAUUGAUUUCUUCCUUCAGCUUUGAUUGUUUCUCUUUGUGCACUUCGAUCUUGGUUGAUUUCCUUGAGUCCCUACACCAAAAGCAAUUAUAUUACUUUUUCAUCGUUAAAACUAAAACCUAACAAUCUCCCAUUUUUUUGAUGAUGACAAAAAAAUAAUAUAUGUAAACAUCAGUUAACUUCCCUAUAUUUUACUCCCCCUCAAUGAGUGAGUUGACUUCCCCUUAAUAGGUGCCGUUGGGACUACUUCUUUUAAUCGACUUCUCAUGUAGUAUCUAUAGUCGACUCCCCCUGCAAUGGAUGUACCUGCACGAAUAUAUGUAUAGCCUUCUCCCCCUUUCUGACAUCAGCAAAGAGGGGAUAAAAACAACAAUACACCAGAUACUAAAGCGGAAUUUGUAGCAUGGUAUGCAUGUAGAGUUAAAAAAAAAUCAUCCAACGACUGUUAUUCAGUCCAAAACAGCACAACAAAAAAUAUUGUUUGAAACUUCCACACUAACGACGCAAGAAAUAAGUAAGAGUGUUGCAAAUCGCCUUCUUCAGUUGAUCAAAGCUAGCAUUAGCUGAGACAGUCACUCCAUCAAGCCUGUCGUGUACUUCCACACGAGUUUCAAAGCUAACACCACUUGGACCUAACUGGUUUGGGAGGGAUUCAGAUGAACACUCAGCAAUACAAUGUUUUGCUUGAUCAAAGGUGAUUUCAAAAUCAUCAGGCCAAGAAUUUUUGAAAAGCAUGGGAAAACCAAAACACUUACACUGGAAAAUUGAGUCAAACAUCGCACAAUCAAGAACGAUGCGCUUUCCUAACACUAAGGAUUCCAACUUGUCAGACUUACUAGACCGAAAAUUGGCAUAAAACAUUCUUACUAGGGGUUCACAGACUUUAGGAGGGGGAACAUAAAAGAAUUUUGACCAGCCUUGAUAAACAAACAGAUCUUUUACCUUACAGUUUAGGGCUUCCAUGUCAUCAAGGUCGACUACUUUGCCAUGAGUGAUUGGCUUGUCUUUCAGAGCAAUAAAAAAAUUCCUGUUUGGAGAAUCUCAGAAAUUUAGGUCAGACUCUAAAGAACUUGAGAGAUCUAUUUUCGAUUUCUUUGGAGUAAGGGAUUCAGGAGGUUCUUCCAAAGGUCUUUUUCCUAGGGCUUUUUCUCCUAGAGGAUGAGAAUGAUCUGAGAGUUCUGCCUGAGAUGAGGCAAAGCCUUCUGAGUGGUCGGAUCCUAGGUUUACUUGUUCUGGAACGAGUACUUUUCCUGGUGGAGGCUGAGGGAUUUUUAGAGUGUAGCCAUGGAAAAAACUGGUUGAAGAGAGUUUCAGAGAGGUUUUCUAGGCGAUGGGAGUGAUAGAGAUUGGAAGAGGGUUAUAGAGAUUAAAAGAAAGGGUUUCUGACGAUUGGGUACAGGAAAGGAAAUGGUGUCAGUUGAACAGGCGUGAUGAUUGGUUUUCCUUUCCUGAACGCUGCAACUGAUGUGAAAAGAGAGGAAAAGAGGGGGAAUUCAGAGGCGCUAUUAAUGACUAUGAAAAGACAAAGUUUAAACAUUAGGCAUACAAAACAUAAAAAUAUCACAUAGGUCCUAAUAUUAAUGAUCAAUGGAAAUAAUACCAAGUAAUUCUCUUAAAAAGCAAAAUCUGUCUUCAAGUAAAGGUUUAGUGAAAAUAUCUGCUAAUUGAUCAAUAGUUCCAACAAAAGAUAAUUCUAUAUUUCCCUUAAGAACAUGAUCUCAAAUGAAAUGAUGCUUGAUGUCUAUAUGCUUUGCCCUAGAGUGAUGCACAUGAUCUUUUGAGAGACAUAUAGCGCUAGAGUUAUCACAGAAAAUUGGAAUGAGUUUAAAGAAUAGUUCAUAGUCACCCAAUUGAUGAGACAUCCAUAGUAAUUGUGCACAACAUUGUCCAAUGGCGAUAUACUCAGUCUCAGUUGUGGAUAGUGCAACUGAUCCUUUCUUUUUACUGUUCCAAGAUAUCGGUGUUUUUCCAAGUAAUUGACAUGUUCCGCUGGUGCUUUUUCUGUCUUCCUUAUCACCUGCAAGAUCAGCAUCUGAAAAACCUUCUAGUUUAAAAUUGUUAAGCGUGGAUACCAUAAUCCGUGAGAAAUAGUUCCAAUGAGAUAUCGAAUAAUUCUCUUUACUGCAGUCAGAUGUGAUUCUUUAGGAGCUGACUGAAACCUGGCACAUUUACAAACACUAAACAUAAUAUCUGGUCGACUAGCAGUUAGAUAAAGAAGGGAGCCAAUCAUUCCACGAUAUUUAGUUUCAUCAACAGGAUUUCCCUAUUCAUCUUUGUCAAGACUUGUUGAAGGACUCAUUGGUGUGCCAAUAGCUUUAGCAUUACUCAUACCGAACUUCUGAAUCAACUCCUUUGUGUAUUUUGCCUGACAUAUAAACGUUCCUUCUUCAGAUUGUUAGGAAGGAGGAGAGGCGAGUGUGCAUGGAUAGGUAUAAGGCAGCUAGGAAGGAGGCUAAGCUGGCAGUCACAGAGGCUAAGACUGCGGCUUAUGGUCGUAUGUACGAGGAAUUGGGG